rnacentral:rRNA from 1 species
GACGAACGCUGGCGGCGUGCUUAACACAUGCAAGUCGAACGAUGAACUUGGAGCUUGCUCUGGGGGAUUAGUGGCGAACGGGUGAGUAACACGUGAGUAACCUGCCCUGGACUCUGGGAUAACUUCGAGAAAUCGGAGCUAAUACCGGAUAGGACCUUGCACCGCAUGGUGUGGGGUGGAAAGUUUUUCGGUUUGGGAUGGACUCGCGGCCUAUCAGCUUGUUGGUGAGGUAAUGGCUCACCAAGGCGUCGACGGGUAGCCGGCCUGAGAGGGUGACCGGCCACACUGGGACUGAGACACGGUCCAGACUCCUACGGGAGGCAGCAGUGGGGAAUAUUGCACAAUGGGCGCAAGCCUGAUGCAGCAACGCCGCGUGCGGGAUGACGGCCUUCGGGUUGUAAACCGCUUUUAGUAGGGAAGAAGCCUUCGGGUGACGGUACCUGCAGAAAAAGGACCGGCUAACUACGUGCCAGCCGCCGCGGUAAGAC